CGGAGGAAAAGAAACCAACAGGGAUUGCCUCAGUAGCGGCGAGUGAAGCGGCAAAAGCUCAAAUUUGAAAUCUGGCGUCUUUGGCGUCCGAGUUGUAAUUUGAAGAAGGUAUCUUUGGGCCCGGCUCUUGUCUAUGUUCCUUGGAACAGGACGUCACAGAGGGUGAGAAUCCCGUGCGAUGAGAUGACCCGGGUCUGUGUAAAGUUCCUUCGACGAGUCGAGUUGUUUGGGAAUGCAGCUCUAAGUGGGUGGUAAAUUCCAUCUAAAGCUAAAUAUUGGCGAGAGACCGAUAGCGAACAAGUACAGUGAUGGAAAGAUGAAAAGAACUUUGAAAAGAGAGUGAAAAAGUACGUGAAAUUGUUGAAAGGGAAGGGCUUGAGAUCAGACUUGGUAUUUUGCAUGUUGCUCUCUCGGGGGCGGCCGCUGCGGUUUACCGGGCCAGCAUCGGUUUGGAGCGGCAGGAUAAUGGCGGAGGAAUGUGGCACGGCUUCUGCUGUGUGUUAUAGCCUCUGACGAUACUGCCAGCCUAGACCGAGGACUGCGGUUUU
rnacentral:rRNA from 1 species